AGGUCCGUCUUCAAGCAUGUGUGACUGUGUUUCAUGAUAAUCUAGAAAAACAAAAAGAUACACACAACCCAUUUGUGAUUAAUGAAACAGUUAACUUUUCCUCGACACUAUAUUUCCCCCACAACACAUUUUGUAUGAAUUAUUAUUUGUGAUGUAUGCUUGUUUGCUUAUAAGGAGGCACAUCCAGCACAUAACUGUGUUAUAGUAGUGUUUUGAAAGGGCAUUAUUAUAAUGGUAGAUAUGAUAAAAGAGUUUAACGUACCACCUCAAUCGUAGCAUGAUUAGUUGUGUAUUAGCAAAAUUCCAGUUUCACUAUACAACUGGCUGAAGCUUUAUAAAUUUCUCAUUAUAUGGAGAUCUUUUAAACUAAUGUGGAGGUUGGACAAACAAUGGCACAUUGUUACAGAGAAGUUAACAUAUUUACCACCAGUUUCCUUGAAAGAUGAGAGCUUGAGAGAAAACACAGAGUAAUGCAAUGUUCAAGCUAUUGUUAUCUGUACAUGUCAUACUUGAUCUGUAUAAAUUCUUUUUGAAAUCUUGAUAUUGUGUUUGUUCAUAUUUUUAGGCUAUGGUGACUCAUAGUCACAGCAAGUGAUUACGAUGAGUUCCACAAAAUAGUGAAGCGCCACAUGCUGACCACUAUUCCAGAACCAACUGGUCAGGUUUCUCAUUUAGAGUUUUUAAUAUGCUUUGUCAUGCUCUUUUUAGCAUUUUGUUGUUAUUUUUAGUUUUCCACGCUUCUACAAUAGUGCCUUUAUUGUUUAUAGAAAAAUUGCUCAUGUAAUGUCAGAAAUCAAAGUUGGCCUUUUCAAUUUGCCUCAAGGAUAUGGUUUGGGACUAAAUAGCUUAUCAAGAUUAUAUUAGACAUUUUUACUACAGCUCAAUACAAGUAAUUCAUAUUGGUCAGUCAACUAAUUGAUUAUAUAGUAAUGUUUCUAAUUUAAGUUUUUCUUCAUGAAAAGUAGGGGCGAAAUCCGGAUUCUUACCUUAUGGCUUUUAAAUCACAACUCUCUUUAAUUUUUGGGUUGUAAAUAGUUUAUUUAUACAUAUCGCAUCGUGAAAACAACCUUGUUAGGCUGCAUAUAAUAAACUUUUGUGGUCUGACCCUUUCUUGGACCUGCGCAUAACGAGAACUUACUGCAUCGGCCUGCCUUUUAACUGAAUCUUUUAACAUAAGUACACGAUUUUAGCCUAAAUGAUUGGCUUCUGUCGAACCUGUAACUGCAAUACUAGAUCUUCCCUUGAAAAGUUAACUAUUUGUAAAUACAAGCAACACCAGUUACUAAACUAAUUGAUUUACGAAUCCUGAGUGCACCGUCUAGAGUACUGGAUAUUGGAGCAACUGAGAUAACUGUGAACUGGCUAGGAACUGGAUUCAACACUUCUGGAGGAUUCACUAAAGACGCUUUGUCCUGUUUGUUGUCAAUACUGUAAUUGCAUCACAUCAUCUUAAGAUUAUUGAAGACAUAACCUUAGAUAGGAUGGUGUGGAGAUCGCAAAUACGGAUAAAAGUUAAGUAGAUAAGUUUCUGUUCUCUCCCCUUCCUGUGGGUUAAGCUUGGUGAUAGUUUGGUACACUAUACCUGUUUCUCCUUCCCUACGAGUAGGCGGUAGUAGUGGCAUUUUUCUCAGUACUUCCUUAUCCUUCGAUUCAUGUUACUACAUGUUAUUUCUUACGCUUCAGUUAUCGCUUUAUUUAGUUGUUGUUAUUGUUCCUUCUCUUUGAAUGCUAUGUAGUGCUUUCUUUUUUAUUUACUAUGUCCUAAUUGAUCUACAUUUUUUUUUCUACUGGCUUUGAUAUGCAUUGCCAACACUGGAAUCAUUUGAUCUCCAGCAAACCAGUUUCACUACAGAUCAAAAAGAACUAUGGAUUCAGAACUGUUGAUCAUCUCCAUAACUUUAAUAGUUAUCGAUAUUUUGAGAGAGAGAGACAGAGAGAGAAGACUUUUUGCUAAUUGCAAACCUUUCCUAUUUUUAUCCAACCAGUCAAAGUUAGCGAAUUUGUGAAAGAUUUGAUCUUGGUGUGCAUUUUCACAUGGUGGGAGGUGACAUCUAGAUCGUUUACGCUUUCUUUCCUGGUGGUCAUUUUUUUCAGAACAUGGUGAUGGUAUUCAUUCCAUUUUCUUAUAGAACAGGAAUAUCAUUGUUAACCAUACAGUCCUCCUAAGAUUUGGUCUUCUAUUUCUUCUUUUUAUGUUUCUUAUCAGAUUGGUUCCCAUCAGCUAUGGAUUUAGAUUUUCCAUUUA